rnacentral:rRNA from 1 species
AGCGAACGCUGGCGGCAGGCCUAACACAUGCAAGUCGAGCGCCCAGCAAUGGGAGCGGCAGACGGGAUAGUAACACGUGGGAACGUACCUUUCAGUUCGGAACAACCCAGGGAAACUUGGGCUAAUACCGAAUACGCCCGUAAGGGGAAAGAUUUAUCGCUGAAAGAUCGGCCCGCGUCUGAUUAGCUAGUUGGUGGGGUAAUGGCCCACCAAGGCGACGAUCAGUAGCUGGUCUGAGAGGAUGAUCAGCAUCACUGGGACUGAGACACGGCCCAGACUCCUACGGGAGGCAGCAGUGGGGAAUA